rnacentral:rRNA from 1 species
AUUGAACGCUGGCGGCAUGCUUUACACAUGCAAGUCGAACGGCAACAGGCCUUCGUGUGCUGACGGGUGGCUAACGGGCGAGUAAUGCAUCGGAACGUACCCAGAGUGGGGGGAUGACGCAGCUAAAGCAGUGCUAAUACCGCAUGUGAUCUGAGGAUGAAAGCGAGGGCCCGAGCAGCAAUGUUUCGCCUCGCGCCUUUGCAGCUGCCGAUGUCGGAUUUGCGAGUUGUGGGGGUAAAGGCCUACCAAGGCGACGAGCCGUAGCUGGUCUGAGAGGACGACGAGCAACACUGGGACUGGAACAGGGCCAAGACUCCUACGGGAGGCAGCAGUGGGGAAUUUUGGCCAAAGGGCGCAAGCCUGCCGCACCAAUGCCGCGGGCGGGAAGAAGGCCUCCGGGUUGUAAACCGUUUUUGGCAGGAAGGAAACGGUUUCCGCUAAUACCGGCAGCUAAUGACGGUACCUGAAGAGUAAGCACCGGCUAACUACGUG